rnacentral:misc_RNA from 1 species
AACAAAGUAUCCUAAUACUUUAAACUUGUGUGAACUCGUUUUUCUUAACCCCGCAUGUGCGCAGCGCGUUCCGGGUCCCAAAGUCUCUUUGGGACUUGGUCUGCGUUUGUUGCAUAUGUAUUUAUCUAUACCACUAUUUACCUCUAUUGAACUGUAUCGAAUUGAAUUUUAUAAUUUGCGCGAAUUCGUUUUCGCGUAUUUUAGUUUACGUAACUUGAUGUCGUG